GAGAUGGCUCAGUUGGUAGAGCAUGAGACUCUUAAUCUUAAGUCCAUGGGUUCGAGCCCCUUGUGGGGCA